AAAAGUUGAGACAUAUACCAUCUAUAAGAUCCAAUCACCUCCCCAUCUUUACAAAACAAAACCUUAUCUUCUCAAAUCCCUCUCUAAAAUACACACACACAUUACACAAACUCAAAAUCACACCAUCAGACUCCCCUUCCUCCUUCCCCUUCUUCUUCGAUUUCAAAACCACAACCAGACACCCCCUUUCUCUUCUCUCUGUUCAAUCGCCGGCGACCAGGAGCCGGUCACCGGUGCCGGCCGUCGCACACCCCCCCCCCUCUUCGUUAAUCACCCACCACACCACCCACCUUCGCGCAAAUCAGAGACAAAGACGAGAGAGAAAGAGAGACGAGACAGAGAGAGAGAGAGAGCGCCGGAGAUAGGAGCGGCACCGCCGCUCACGGCGGCGGCGGUGGAGCCGACGACGACAACAGCAGAACCGUCGUGGCGGUGACGACUCUCAGGCGACACGUUUUCAUAUCCGAUUGGCCCGAAAAUGACGGUAGUGUUAAGGUUGAGCUGAUGAAGAGGGUGGUGUUGGUGUUAUUUCGGGCUCGGCUUGGUUCGGUUCGGGUGUAGGUGCACUUCAGAUUAGUUUUCGGGUUUUUCAAGUCAACUCUCAACAGUGGUUCAAGUCGUGCUUCAGGUUAAAGUGAGCCAGGUUCAGAUGGUUGUACAGCAGAUUUGGGUCUCAGCUCAGAUCGGGUUCGGUUCGGUCAACAACGGGUCUUGGUUUCGGUGUCAGAUUAUGAAGCGGUUCAGUUGACUCGGUCAAACCGAGUUAACUCGGUCAACACGGUCAAACCGAGUCAACUCCGUUGACUCGGUCAACUCGGUCAGCCUACUCGACUAAGCGACGUGAGAAUUUCGGUAAUAGAUUAAAAGAAAUGAUUUUGUUACAUUAUAUUUCUAGUUUAAACUUACGGAUAUUGUAGAAUGCACGCCAGCGAGUCUCAUCUUGGAAACGACAUCACGAAGUCGUAAUUAGCUAGCUUCGCACAAGGCAAUUCAGGUUGCAUUUCAAAGUCGAGGCACGGUUGGAAUAGGGGGACCAUUGGGGAUUCGAGUACUUAGCGGGCGUUCAAUUUCUAGAUAGUCUAUGCUUAUUUGCUUCCGCUGUGCAAUAAAGAUACCAUUCCAGUCACACCAGCUCUGAUAAUUUCAGGGUGUGACAAGCGGAAGCAUAAGUUCAAAAACCAAAAAUAUAAGUCAAACGUUUUAUAAGUUUAUCAUGAACACACAACGGUUCAUGUCCCACGACGACUCCUUCCCCAUGCAAGCUCCAACAAAUAACCUAACGACCUGCAAGACAUAUAAUAACGAAUCAACAACAAAGUUGAGCGAGUUCACAGUUGGGUGUUCGUUUUAAGUUGUUUCAAAAACAUUGUUUUCCUUUAGCUGGCUUACUGGCCAUGGGGGUUACCCCAUAGU
rnacentral:lncRNA from 1 species